UUGAUAUUCGACGUUUAAAAACUGUGGAUAUAAUUAUUCAAUUCAAUUGUAAUGUUGUGUUAAGAGGGCUUUUAUUUUUCUCAGUUAUUCUUUCUUUCCUAUUCUCCAGAUAUUCGACAUAAAAACGUCCACUGGUAAGAGUUAAGUGUUAGACGUAUGUGAGGUAAGGACAGCUGUAGUUGUGCCUUAACUAAAAACCGCCAAAACCGCCAGAGGAGGACUAGGGCGGAGAUCCACACGCGUCCUAUAGUUUUAUGUUACAGAGCCGUGUAGCUAUAGCAGAAGAACAAAAUUUUGUGAACCAUCGCUUAUCAUCUCAUUUUACGGGUUAUUCAUGCUAGAACUGCUAAAGAAUAAUUUCAAUCGCUGCGUUAAGAUCGGAGAGUUCAAUCAGUUAAACGAAGUGUAAUCAACGUGUAUUUUGGGAAAUAAAGGCGAGUGUCACAAGU